rnacentral:rRNA from 1 species
UACGUAGGGUGCGAGCGUUAAUCGGAAUUACUGGGCGUAAAGCGUGCGCAGGCGGUUGGUUAAGUCUGAUGUGAAAGCCCCGGGCUCAACCUGGGAAUGGCAUUGGAAACUGGCCAGCUGGAGUGUGGCAGAGGGGGUGGAAUCCGCGUGUAGCAGUGAAAUGCGUAGAGAUGCGGAGGAACACCGAUGGCGAAGGCAGCCCCCCUGGGCCAACACU